UGGAGAGGGGCCCGCGUCCCAUCAGCUAGUUGGUAGGGUAACGGCUUACCAAGGCUUUACGGGUAGCUGGUCUGAUAGGAUGGUCAGCCACACUGGGACUGAGACACUGCCCAGACUCCUACGGGAGGCUGCAGUCGAGGAUCUUGGACAAUGCGCGAAAGCGUGAUCCAKCGACGCCGCGUGCAGGAUGAAGGCCUUCGGGUUGUAAACUGCUGUCAUGGGGGAACAAUGGGUGCCGUGCGAACAGCACGGCGCAGUGAUGGUACCCCAGGAGGAAGCCACGGCUAACUCUGUGCCAGCAGCCGCGGUAAUACAGAGGUGGCAAGCGUUGUUCGGAUUUACUGGGCGUAAAGCGUGCGUAGGUGGCUUCGUAUGUCGGUCGUGAAAUCCCGUCGCUCAACGGCGGAACUGCGUCCGAAACUGCGGGGCUUGAGUGCAGGAGGGGAGAGCGGAACUCUUGGUGUAGCGGUGAAAUGCGUUGAUAUCAAGAAGAACACCGGUGGCGAAGGCGGCUCUCUGGAAUGCAACUGACACUGAGGCACGAAAGCUGGGGGAGCAAACAGGAUUAGAUACCCUGGUAGUCCCAGCUGUAAACGGUGCGCACUUGGUGUAGGGGGUAUUGACCCCCCCUGUGCCGGAGCUAACGCGUUAAGUGCGCCGCCUGGGGAGUACGGCCGCAAGGCUAAAACUCAAAGAAAUUGACGGGGGCCCGCACAAGCGGAGGAGCAUGUGGCUCAAUUCGAUGCAACGCGAAGAACCUUACCAGGGCUUGACAUGUAGCUGCAGGCCCCGUGAAAACGGGGCGGCCUUCGAGGGUGCUACACAGGUGCUGCAUGGCUGUCGUCAGUUCGUGCCGUGAGGUGUUGGGUUAAGUCCCGCAACGAACGCAACCCCUGUGUUUAGUUGCCACCGCAGGUGAUGAAUCUGCGAGCACUCUAAACAGACUGCCCGUACAAGCGGGAGGAAGGUGGGGAUGACGUCAAGUCAGUAUGGCCCUUACGUCCUGGGCUGCACACGUGCUACAAUGGUCGGUACAGAGGGACGCGAGACCGCGAGGUGGAGCAAAUCCUUAAAACCGGCCCCAGUUCAGAUUGAAGUCUGCAACUGGACU
rnacentral:rRNA from 1 species